UGGUUUCUUGAAUAUAUUUAAGAGAUCUAACCUGCCCACUGAAAAUAUUUUGAAGGGCCGCAGUAUUUUGACUGUGCAAAGGUAGCAUAAUCAUUAGUCUUUUAAUUGAAGGCUGGUAUGAAUGGUUGGACGAGGUAAAUACUGUUUUAUAUUAAUUGAAAUUGAAUUUAGAAUUUAAGUAAAAAGACUUAAAUAUUAUUAAGGGACGAGAAGACCCUAUAGAGUUUAAUAAGUUUAAUAAUUAAUUGAGUUAUUAAUUAAUUUUUGGUUUUUAUGAAAUUUAUUUAAUUGGGGUGAUUAGAGGAUAAAUAAAACUUUUCUUUAAAAUUAAUAUUAUUAUUAGUUCUAUGAUCCAUUAUUAAUGAUUAAAAGAUUAAAUUACCUUAGGGAUAACAGCAUAAUUCUUUUUAAGAGUUCAUAUCGAAAAAGGAGAUUGUGACCUCGAUGUUGGAUUAAGAUUAGUUUUGGGUGUAGAUGUUCAAUAACUAGGUCUGUUCGACCUUGAAAAUCUUACAU
rnacentral:rRNA from 1 species